AUUACAAGCCGAAUCCACGUCAUGGUGGGUUAGUUUUUUGACAGAAAAAAAUCUACAUUUUGGACUGAUAAUGACAACUAAAAAAUCUACUUUUGGAAGGGAGGUAAUAACGAGUUUUUUUUUUUUUUAAAAAAAAUCAAUCUGGUGUAUCUAAGCUCGUUGCAUAUUGAAGCCUUGAAGGUAAAGAUGGGAAUAUAGAUGAGGAGCUUUUGCACUAGUUGGUGCUUGGGUUCCACGCCGUACCUAACGGUGUCGGCAACACAUGCAUGGCUUUGCACAGAUGCUUCAGUUACCGCACAUGAAAAUCUUGGAAGCGAUAUUUCCAUGAUCGGAAAGAUUCGUAACGAGGACGACACCAACCCAAGCUAAAGUAGUUUUGUGAUCAUUAUUGCCCACGCCCACCUAGUAAAGCUCUUUGCAACAAGAAAUAUACGCUACUGCAUGCAUGCUGUGCAUAUAUACCUAGGAGUAUAUUAUUAUUGAAGCACAUCA
rnacentral:lncRNA from 1 species